rnacentral:rRNA from 1 species
UACAGAGGGUGCGAGCGUUAAUCGGAAUUACUGGGCGUAAAGGGUGCGUAGGUGGUUAAAUAAGUUAGGUGUGAAAUUCCCGGGCUUAACCCGGGGACUGCGCCUAAUACUGUUUAGCUAGAGUAUUGUAGAGGAAAGUGGAAUUUCCGGUGUAGCGGUGAAAUGCGUAGAUAUCGGAAGGAACAUCAGUGGCGAAGGCGACUUUCUGGACAAAUACUGACACUGAGGCACGAAAGCAUGGGGAGCAAACAGG